rnacentral:rRNA from 1 species
AGAGUUUGAUCCUGGCUCAGGACGAACGCUGGCGGCGUGCUUAACACAUGCAAGUCGAACGGUAAGGCCCUUCGGGGUACACGAGUGGCGAACGGGUGAGUAACACGUGGGUGAUCUGCCCCCUACUCUGGGAUAAGCCUGGGAAACUGGGUCUAAUACUGGAUAUGACCUUGAGCUUCAUGGUUCUUGGUGGAAAGUUUUUCGGUAGGGGAUGAGCCCGCGGCCUAUCAGCUUGUUGGUGGGGUAAUGGCCUACCAAGGCGACGACGGGUAGCCGGCCUGAGAGGGCGACCGGCCACACUGGGACUGAGACACGGCCCAGACUCCUACGGGAGGCAGCAGUGGGGAAUAUUGCACAAUGGGCGCAAGCCUGAUGCAGCGACGCCGCGUGGGGGAUGACGGCCUUCGGGUUGUAAACCCCUUUCAGUCGGGACGAAGAGCAAUUGACGGUACCGAUAGAAGAAGCACCGGCCAACUACGUGCCAGCAGCCGCGGUAAUACGUAGGGUGCGAGCGUUGUCCGGAAUUACUGGGCGUAAAGAGCUCGUAGGCGGCUUGUCGCGUUGUCCGUGAAAAUUUACAGCUCAACUGUGAACUUGCGGGCGAUACGGGCAGGCUAGAGUACUGCAGGGGAGACUGGAAUUCCUGGUGUAGCGGUGAAAUGCGCAGAUAUCAGGAGGAACACCGGUGGCGAAGGCGGGUCUCUGGGCAG